rnacentral:rRNA from 1 species
UACAGAGGUCUCAAGCGUUGUUCGGAUUCAUUGGGCGUCAAGGGUGCGUAGGCGGCGCGGUAAGUCGGGUGUGAAAUCUCGGGGCUUAACUCCGAAACUGCAUUCGAUACUGCCGUGCUUGAGGACUGGAGAGGAGACUGGAAUUUACGGUGUAGCGGUGAAAUGCGUAGAUAUCGUAAGGAAGACCAGUGGCGAAGGCGGGUCUCUGGACAGUUCCUGACGCUGAGGCACGAAGGUCAGGGGAGCAAACGGG